rnacentral:ncRNA from 1 species
GCAGAGUAGAUUGUCGGGCGUUAAGUGCCGUACGGACGGGGAGUUGCCGCACGGACGAAGGAUAAUUCCGCGGUUCGGCAGUCGCAUCCCGCUGC